GACGAACGCUGGCGGCGUGCUUAACACAUGCAAGUCGAGCGGUAAGGCCCCUUCGGGGGUACACGAGCGGCGAACGGGUGAGUAACACGUGAGCAAUCUGCCCAUCACAUCGGGAUAACUCCGGGAAACCGAAGCUAAUACCGAAUACGACCACCUCCGGCAUCGGAUGGUGGUGGAAAGUUCCGGCGGUGAUGGAUGAGCUCGCGGCCUAUCAGCUUGUUGGUGGGGUAAUGGCCUACCAAGGCUUCGACGGGUAGCCGGCCUGAGAGGGUGACCGGCCACACUGGGACUGAGACACGGCCCAGACUCCUACGGGAGGCAGCAGUGGGGAAUAUUGGACAAUGGGCGAAAGCCUGAUCCAGCAACGCCGCGUGAGGGAUGACGGCCUUCGGGUUGUAAACCUCUUUCAGCAGGGACGAAGCGCAAGUGACGGUACCUGCAGAAGAAGCACCGGCCAACUACGUGCCAGCCGCCGCGGUAACAC
rnacentral:rRNA from 1 species